GAAGGCCUCACAGCAGGAAGAAGGGUCCUCCGGUCCCCAGAAGUCUGACCUGGUGCCUCGUUCACCUGUCACCCAUCCUGCCAUGUGCAGCUGUCAGGGUCAAGGCCUUUCUGUGGGGCUUCUCAACCGAGAAGAGGCAAAGCAGGAUGGAGGCCAAAUCCCCAGCCUCCGUCAGGAGUUAGUGACCAGGAAAUCUGGAGGAUGCAGCCUGAUUCGCAGUGGGUAACUUGGGGAAAUAGCCCAAAUCCCAUCAACGGAUAAGAGGCAGUCCGGGUCGGUGGGCGAAUGAAGAUGAGAACUCUCCCUGGAGGUCAGCUGGCAGGCGCGUGCAGUAAAGACCCCCCCACCUGAGCAAGCAGAGGCCGGCCUGUCGGAAUCGCUGGGAGGGACAACGCUGGCACCCGAGCACCCAGGAACGAAGGGCCGAGUGGAGAGCAGGCGUCUCCGCGAGCGCUGCCUGCGUCCCCGCCCCUCUCAGCAGCCUUGCUGACAGUGACCAGUCCUCGCCACAGGAACCGGCCAGGCUGAGGGACUGGGUGGUGCAGCACCUUGGACCUGUCUUGAGGGCGGCCCUGGCGAGCUUCUUCUACCUGGGCCUCCUCUGGACACUGGCGGUGAUGACUCUGCCUUCGGAGCUGGCGGUGACAGGGUGACCCAGUUCCCGUUGCUGGAGCGAAAUACCCAAUGCUGGGAAUUUCACAAAGACAGGCAAUGGCACUCACAUCUGCUGGGCUCUGGCCAGGCCCCUUGGCUAUGUGGCAUCAUGGCGCCGGCGCCGGUGGGACUGCGGAGCCAGGAAGUAGGGAGCCGGAUGGUCGGCUCACUGCGUUAGAACAGCUCCCUCUCAGGACCUGGCUGGGGUCGCAUGAGAUCUACACUGACCCCGCCCAGGGCCGUCCCGUGUGACCUACUCACUUCCCACUCAGCUUCCCCACCUCCCAGCAUCGCCACCGGGGACCAAGCCUCCCACACACAGCCUUGGGGGAGAGACGACAUCCGCACCGUAGCCCCAGGCCUUUUCUGCCGCGAGAGACUGACUGCUGGGAGUGCACGACUGGGUGCCCGUAUUCUGGCUUCUGGUUGGAUUCACCAAGGGAGGCACCAGCCAAAGGCGGGUGUGGGGAACUUAUUACUGAUCCCUCCCUGCUCUGGGCUCCAGCUAUGAGUUUCUGACUACAGCUCCUGCCAGGCAGAUGUCUCCUCGGUGCCAGGCCUGAGGGUGUGUGCCAGUUAUCAAUUUUUAUUGCCUCUCAGCUCCAAAGUCGUCCUUCAAUGCCUGUUCUGCAAUAAUAGAGUUUUAAAGCAUCUUUCCUUUGCAGUGAGCAAAAUGUAAACCUUUCUCAGUAGAGGGCGCUAGUGGGACACUGUGGCUCUCUGCUCCUGUUUUCUCACCCACCUUCGUGCAAUCCCAGGGUCAGGCCAAUCAGCCUCUUCCAGGCUUCACUGAUUGGCUCAGGAGUGGGCGGGGUCUAAGCUGCUCCAGUCAGAGCAGAUCUCAGGAUUUAGGGAGGAGCUGUGCAAAAGAUGCCUGGGUCUUUCCUGUGGGACUUACACUUGAGAGGACGAAAGUCUGGGUUUCUGCAGCCCUGUUAUCACCAUGAGGGGAGUCUUGAGUGGCCAGGAAUCACCAUGGGAACAAGAGUGGAGCCAACAGAGCAGAAAUUGUAAGAUGGAGAGAAACUGACUCCUCAUGACACAGCGUAGCUGCAGCUGCCACGGCUGCGGCCUUUUCAGUUAUGUGAGCCUGUAAUUAAUUACUUUCUCUCCCGGCCACCCUCCUCAUCACAUUUUUCCCCCCAUAAGCCACUUUGAGUUGAACUGUCUGAUAUCUGGGAACAGAAUAGUCCUACUUAAUAUAAUGGCUUUGGGGCAAGCCCAUUACUGCUCACCUCCUCUUUUCCAGGCACUUUGCUGCAUGAUCUCACUCACUCCUUCCUGUCCCCACUCGGCCCUGACAGGAAAAGUCAGCAUCAUCUCCAUUUUCCAGGUGCUUGCAUCGUGGAGCGCUGUACUUCUGAGUGGAUUCAUCUGUUGGUGAGUUCCUGGCUGAAAUGCUGUUAGGGGGUGGGGCCUGGUUGGAGGUGGUCACUGGGGGCACCGCCUGCAAGGGGUAUUCUUGUCCCUGACUCCUCCCUCCUCUCACUUCUUCCUAGUCUCCACAAGGUGAGCUGCUUUCCUCCACCAGGUCCUUACACCAUGUUGUUCUUUCUUGAAGCCAAGGAACCGUGGACUGAACCCACUUGGAAAUCAUGAGUCCAAAUGAACCUCGCCAUUUAAAUUGCAAGUGUUAGCUAUUUUGUGCCAGCAAUGGGAAAGCUAAUACAGCACAUGUAUGGAAAUACUUUAUUCCCUUGUGUUUUUAUUGCGAAUUAUCAGCAACUGUAGGGCAGCGACUGGGACUACUGCAGUCCUGCUUUGCUUGGUUGCUCGUUCCCAGCUGCUAUGGCAGGGCCUGGAUCAGCAGAGGGGCACUGGAAACCUACAUCUGCCGCAAAGUUUCCCACAGGGGAUGUUUCUCUGCCCAGCGCUGCCUCCGUGGCUGGCGAAAUGUCAGGUUUCUCUACCACUGGGCCGUUUCACUGAAGGCAGUUCUCCACCUCACCCUGGCCCCAGAAACUCCCUGCGCCCACCAACAUCA